AGGUAAAAGGCUAUUAGCAUCUGACUACGGAUCAGAAGGUUGGGGGUUCGAAUCCUCC
rnacentral:tRNA from 1 species